UAUCGACAAAUAGAAACAUGACGGAGAGUAAGACAGUGGAACCCAUUUCAAAAUGAAAACGUGACUCUUCUACAGACGAUUUAAUAUUUUCACCACCGGGAAUGGUAAAGGUCGAAACCGAUCUGUUAAAAUCAAUAAAUGACAAACUGGGUACACUUGAACUAGUCAGUAAGGAUAUAAAAGAGUUGAAGGCAAGCCUCAAGAUGAGUGACGAAAAAGCUGCGACAUUGGAGAAAGACACAAACAAGCUAAAAGGGACAGUCAAUAAGAUUGAAACCGAAGUUAAUGAACUUAAAAAGUAGAACAUCAUUCUGACAGAAGCCUUAAUUGACAUACAGACUAGAUCCAUGAGGGAAUUUGGUACUUACAAGAAUCUAAGAGAAAUAAGGAGAAGUUCCUGAAUCUGUAGUUAGUGAGUUCCACCUUACAGCGCUUCAGAUCACACGCGAAGCUAUCGAUCAAAUCCAUCUCGAACGUGUACACCGCUUCGGACAGAGGAAAAAAGAGCUUCUGGAUAUCAGGACAGCGAUCACUCACCUCGGAUUAGACAAAGACUCACAGGAUGUACUUCGAACACCCGACAAGGCCACAUCCCCGUCAUUGGCAAGAGAAAGAGACGCAGGUACUGAGGACACAGAGCGGAGUGCCUCGUAAGGUUUCGUAGACGUCGAGCGGGAAAGCUGCCAUUAGCGUCAGUGUUACUUGCCAACGUACAAUCAUUGGACAAUAAAUUAGACGAGGUACGAUCACGAAUAUCCUACCAAGGGGACAUCAGAAACUGUAACAUCUUAUGUUUCACAGAAUCGUGGCUGAAUGAUGACAUGGAUAUUCAGCUAGUGGGAUAUACGCUGCACCGGCAGGAUAGAACACCACACUCAGGUUGAAGUUCACAGUGGAAGAGAUGCAGGGGUCCAUUGUGACCAUGGAGGAGGACACUGACACUGCAGAGUACCAGAAAAGACAGAAACCGAAUAAGUGUAAAGGUACAUGUCAAUGACUAUUUUCUUUGUCUCCACUGUACACAAUGCGAGUCUGGGCUGUUACCUCUAUAGGACAGCACGUUAUCUUGGUUGUUUAUUAAUGUAACAGCAAUGACAGUGAAAGUCAACUCAAAAACAUGUAUUGUUAUGUUUGGGGCAACGACUAAAAUACAUUACAUUAAUACAUUGUAUUAUUACUUUUUGAUAGUAUUCAUAAAUUAUUGUAGCUGCAUCGGUCUUGAAUUUGAAUAACAUUGACGUUUGCUUAUGUAAUAUCUGUUUUUUCUGAAAUCAUUUAUGUAAAAAAUAAUGACACAUUUUCUUCCCUAAACCAGAUAAGUUGUGAAUUAAA